rnacentral:rRNA from 1 species
UACGUAGGGCGCAAGCGUUGUCCGGAAUUAUUGGGCGUAAAGAGCUCGUAGGCGGCUUGUCACGUCGGGUGUGAAAGCCCGGGGCUUAACCCCGGGUCUGCAUUCGAUACGGGCUAGCUAGAGUGUGGUAGGGGAGAUCGGAAUUCCUGGUGUAGCGGUGAAAUGCGUAGAUAUCAAGAGGAACACCUGAGGUGAAGACGGGUUGCUGGGCUGAUACUGACGCUGAGGCGCGAAAGCUAGGGUAGCAAACGGG